rnacentral:rRNA from 1 species
CACGUAGGAGACAAGCGUUAUCCGGAUUUACUGGGUGUAAAGCGCGUGCAGGCGGUUCAGUAAGUUGGAUGUAAAAGCUCCUGGCUUAACUGGGAGAGGUCGUUCAAGACUGCUGGACUAGAGGAUGGCAGAGGGGAGUGGAAUUCCGAGUGUAGCGGUAAAAUGCAUAGAUAUUCGGAAGAACACCAGUGGCGAAGGCGGCUCUCUGGGCCAUUACUGACGCUCAGACGCGAAAGCUAGGGUAG